CACGUAGUUAGCCGUGGCUUUCUAAUAAGGUACCGUCAAGGUACGGGCAGUUACUCCCGUACGUGUUCUUCCCUUACAACAGAGCUUUACGAUCCGAAAACCUUCUUCGCUCACGCGGCAUUGCUCCAUCAGACUUUCGUCCAUUGUGGAAGAUUCCCUACUGCUGCCUCCCGUAGGAGUCUGGGCCGUGUCUCAGUCCCAGUGUGGCCGAUCACCCUCUCAGGUCGGCUACGCAUCGUCGCCUUGGUAGGCCGUUACCCCACCAACUAGCUAAUGCGCCGCGGGCCCAUCCUACAGUGACAGCGAGACGCCGUCUUUCAGAGUUGGUUCAUCGCGAACCAACUGAUUAUUCGGUAUUACGGUCCCCGGUUUCCCGGAGUUACUCCCCAUCCUGGUACGGGCUACGGUUCGCCCGACGUUGUUACCUCCG
rnacentral:rRNA from 1 species